rnacentral:tRNA from 1 species
CGGGGUGUGGCGCAGUUGGUAGCGCGCGCGCUUUGGGAGCGCGAGGCCCAGGGUUCGAGUCCCUGCACCCCGA